AACUUAUCCUGCUUCUGCCCUCUCUCCACGCCCGACCUGUCUCGCAGACCCGAUGCUUCCCGAUGCUUCUUCAGUUCUUCUCCCACCUCCGCCGCUCCUACCCCGCGGAGCGCCGCCCCUUCCUCCCUACUGGCCGUCGUACACCCCCCCAGGUCAUGGCGCCACUGCUUGGUGCCGCCGACGCUGCUGCUUGGCGCCAUCGACGCCGCCGCUUGGCGCCACCAACACCGCCGUACCGUGGCUCCGCCUUCUCGGUCUUGGCUUCGCGACGUGCCCCGCCUCUCCCAGCAACGGCGCUCCACCCACUCCUUCUUCCCGGCUUUGUCAGCCCGACGUCUCGCCGCCGCCGUAAGUAUGUCCUUCAUUUUCGCCUGCCCUGCCCUGUUUGCAUCUACCAUUGCUUCUAUUUCCAAUGUCUCCUGCACAUGAAUCGUCGUCAUCCGGUUUUCUAGCUGCUGCAGAAGAAGGCCAGAGUCGGAGCCAAUCGCCGGCCACGUGCCACCACGUCAAGGGACGGACCAACAGCCGCACUACCAUGGCACGGCGCGACGAGGUCAUACGUCUCCGACAUCUAUCACCAGGUUGAGGAAAGCCAGUCUCAGAACCCCUGCUUCCACCACAGAGAGUGUUCCGACGACAGCUAUGUGAUUCCAUAUCUAUAUGUUUAUUCCCCUGUGAUAUUGUGUGCUGCUAUGUAUACUACAUCUUAUACUUUUCUGCCUCUGAUGAUAUCAAAUUUCUAGUAUUCAUAAACCGUUAAUUACCGUCCAACAAAAGGACAACAGUACCCAAGAGAUUUUGUAUGCUUGCAAUUACAUUCCCUAUUACUAUAACACUGCACCUUUAAAAAGGUACCACAUAGAUCAGAUGUGUGGACAGCAGCAGCCCAGCCUGCUAAUGAUAGUUCCCUACAAAUGUUAAAAAUGGAUCAACACAUGCAUGAAAAAAAAAUUCUGCUUCUUGCCCCAGCUGUUACAUUGCCAUUGCUUUACCCAAUUCUUCGGGUCUCUAUCUCCAGAUAUGGAACACCUACUUUUCCUAUGAUCAGUAAAAUUCAUCCAUCUAUGCCUGCCCAAACUAUGUUUGACAUCAUACUGACAAGUCUCUGUUCUUUGCCUGCAACACACUGGGGUAUAUAUCCGCUCGGGCUUAUUUGGAGGCACUACAGGUGCAUGUAUUUUAUUAGUGCCCGGCCUUUGUGUUGUUUCCUCCUGUUGAGAUUCGACAAGCACUUCCUUCUUGGUUAAAUCAUCUUGCUCUCCCCCCACUGUGGUUGGACUGACAACCUUUUAGGAAGAUCAACAAAAAUCGUGCCCUAUAUGUAUUCCUUUUACAUUUCCUUGCUGCAGUGGAGCUGAUCUACACGAACGGAAGCGUAGAUUUCUGAUGCCUCACCUACUCAGUCAGCAUUUGCCAAUAUGUGUUUCCUUGCUGCAACAACACGUACUCAUCAACCAGGUGCUUAAUUAGACGUAAACUGCAUCUCCAUGAAUCAAGCCAAGUAGUACUUUCUUUUUAAUAUUUACGGACAUUGCUCACUGUCCUUGCUCCUUUGUUAAGAGAUAUGGACCUUUGGUGUAUAGGUUCCUGCUAAUAUUGAGAGGAGAGAUCCAAAUGUUUCUUCAUGUACCUUUUUUUUUGAAAUUUUUCAUGUACCUUUGUUGCUUGGAUUUUUUUGCGACACAUAUCCAGUUUAUUAGAUUUUAAAACAUUUCAUAUCAGGUAGCUUAUUUCAUUGGGUGAAUACGGGAAUAAACACCUGCUCUAAUAGCUU